CGGCGGCGGCGGCGGCGGCGGCCCGGGCGCGCGCUUCCUAGUGACGCAGGCGGCGGGGCCGCGCACGCACGGGCCAGGGCGAGCCCGGAUAUUUAUUUGGCGCUCGGCCGGGAAGCGGGAGGUGUCGAGAAAUAAGGCCCGGCUGGGCCCGACGCGCGUGCGCGCGGGCGAGGGCGGGGCCGGAGGUGGGUGCUUCGGCCCGUUAGCUGGGCGGCUGCUCCGCGCCCCGCCCGCUGGCUCACCGGCCGGGACUGGCGGACACACCAGCUCGGCGCGGAAUUCCCGGGGAGAGGGUGCGUAGGGGGACGCGCUUAGGGUUGGCGAGAAAGCAAGCGUUAAAAACGGCUUUAAACAUCCUCACUUCUGGAUUCGCGCGGCUCCCCCCAGUGUUCCUGUGUCGACCCCCAGCCGCGCUCUCCUGUGCUGUAGUCACUGAUCACGUGUGCUCAUUUCAGCUUGCGUUAACUGAAGUUAAAAUUCAGUUCCUGCGCUAUCACAGAGGCAUUAAAAGACACCCUGAUGAAGGGUUAGGAACGCCCUGAAAACUCUCUUUUUUAAUGGCUGGAGUGCAAAGUCCCUGCGUUUUCCAGAACGUGAGAAGGUUAGCAUCACUCAGCUUUCCUGGAGUUCCUUUGACUUGGGAGCGAGUACAAACAGGCCUUGCUGUUUGAUUGAAAGGACUCCUGGAGGAAGCGCUGCAGCCGUGGUGGUUUUGGGCACAUCCCCACAUCUCCCUGUGCUCUGUCUCCCCACCUGCACCGGGCAGUCAGGGGGACCCAGAGGGUGGCUGAGGCUGGCUGUUCUCAGACCAGGGAAGGCACGUACGAAGUUUCCUCGUGUGUGGUGUCACUGCUCUGGCAGCUGUCAGCUGCGGAAGACUCCGGUGCCCAGUGAAAGGCUUCAGGGUCUGCGGAUGCUCCCUCAGGAGACAGAGAAGGCAGAAAACAAAUGCCUUCUUCAAGACCAAGCUGUGAACCUGUGUUCAUACUUAGAAGUAAAUGCCCAUAAAGUCAAAGGGAGAGGGCUUCCCUGGUGGCGCAGUGGUUAAGAAUCCACCUGCCAACGCAGAGGACACGGGUUUGAUCCCUGGUCCGGGAAGAUCCCACGUGCCACGG